rnacentral:pre_miRNA from 1 species
CAGGUGGGGUUCUGUCGCAGGGGAGAUGGCUGGUCCAUUCAUGCCUAUGCUAUGCCAAUUAUGUAUGCAUCAGCCAUCUCACCGCGCCAGAACUCCAUCCA